UGCAAUACAUAUAGUUUAAGCAGGAAACAGAUGCGGGUCACCCAGACUACAAUAGAAAACGGAUGAGGCACCUAAACCACAACAGGAAAACAGAUGCGCGACUCCCUAACCACAAAAGAUUAAGUCAGCGCCACGUCUUUUAGAAAGAAGCAGACACACACACACAUAUACAACUGUUGGUUUAAAGGAAUUUGUAAAGAGGAAAUGUGACGUAUUUGCAUACGCGAUGUAACCUAUAAAUAAAGAACUGUGCCUGCACUCAGGGUGUGGGUCUCGCCAGAGUCCUCACCCGUGCGUGAGUCUCGUCAGAGUGCUCACCCGUGCACGUUAAUGUUAUUACAUUCUAACUGUUUGAGUGUCUUUAUUCAGCCUGAAGAAUGUCUUAUUGAAAAUAAACUCUUGACAUUUAAUUGGUCCUUCGAGCCCGGAUUUUGGACAUCGAAUUAUGCUCCAACAGAGUGACCUCGUCGUUUCCUGACAUCGUGGAGAGCCCGCGCUGAAGUCUGUCGACAGCCUCUUUCCUAUGAAGGAGAAAAGACCAACUACGUGAAUUCGGGGUUGGCCAGCGUUCUUAGUAAGAGGUCCACGAUCCUGGGGAACGAGGAGGAAUCUCUGACCGGCACUUAUAUCAUCAUAACCAGUCUCUUCCAGGUUGAAACCAGGCGACUGGAUCCUGAUCAAGGUACUCCAGAGGAAAAACUGGAGCUCUCCGAGGUGGGAGGGCCCUUUUCAGGUCCUGCUAACGACGCCAACAGCGUGCAAGAUCGCUGAAAGACCUUCGUGGAUCCACCAGAGCCACGCCAAAGAAGUACAAGGGGACACAAGCCCAGACGCCAGUCCACCUAUCAUCUAGUGAUCUGUGAGUGGAGGAGAGGGCAGAUUGGGUAUACCCCGCCCUCUUGACUUCUCGCUUUCAGUCAACACACUAGGUGAUCUGGUGAACUUGGUCGACCUGAAGAAACCCCAUUGUAGCCCGAGCACCGACCUAGCCCCACCUGCCCGGUAGAGUAAAGGAAGAUCAGUCCAACCUGCAAAACCAGAAGAGCAACCCAUCACUCAAGUAACUACUCAGACACUCACAAACAAUGCCUGACAUAGACGUGCAAAAUGAACAUUCAGACAUUUCAGAUGGAGAGGACCCAGUCCCCAACAGGACUCGACGACGAUGCAUAAUUAUGUACCUCAUAACAAAAUUGAAAUGGCAUUCUUUGUAAACCUACUACAAACUCUAGAAACAGUAAUGAAUACAAGUCUGCGUGCAUGUGCUCCAAAAGAACCAAUAAAGAACUUAACAACACUUCCGGUCACACCGCCCGAACUAGCCCAUAACAUGACCAUGGUCUGCCUAUGGAGACUUAGAGUCCCAGAAAAGCAGGGUGUAUCUUUUGUUUAUCCAAAUAAGACACUGCAACCGGAAUCUUCCUGGCACAAGCUUAUAGCCCGAUAGCAACUGAAGAAGAAGAAGACUGUGUGUAAGAAUUUCUUGUACUUAACAUGACGUAGCAAUUGAAAAUGUGCAAACAAGUGAUUGUCUACUGAAGCCUAUGAAGUAUGAGUGAAAUAUAUUAACAACAGGAGGGAAUGUUAUGAGAUUCUAUGUUUUUAUGUGUUUUAUUCUUUGUUUUAUUAUCUUUUAAUAUUCAAGCAUAUUGUAAAGUGUUUAUAUAUUUCACAGAAUUUGCUGUACUUCCCCAUGUCACAAGAUUCGAUGUAUUGCUCCAUUGUCAUGCAACCCGACAGUGAACUCUGCAAUACAUAUAGUUUAAGCAGGAAACAGAUGCGGGUCACCCAGACUACAAUAGAAAACGGAUGAGGCACCUAAACCACAACAGGAAAACAGAUGCGCGACUCCCUAACCACAAAAGAUUAAGUCAGCGCCACGUCUUUUAGAAAGAAGCACACACACACACAUAUACAACUGUUGGUUUAAAG
ensembl:lncRNA